UACGGAGGGUGCGAGCGUUGUCCGGAAUCAUUGGGCGUAAAGGGCGCGUAGGUGGUCCGGUCAGUCUGUGGUGAAAGCGCGGGCUCAACCCCGCGUCGGCCAUGGAUACUGCUGGGCUGGAGCACUGUAGAGGCAGGCGGAAUUCCGGGUGUAGCGGUGGAAUGCGUAGAGAUCCGGAAGAACACCGGUGGCGAAGGCGGCCUGCUGGGCAGUUGCUGACACUGAGGCGCGACACGUGGGGAGCAAACAGGG
rnacentral:rRNA from 1 species